UGGCGCUUGGACAUUUAGCAACGGAGGAUUUAAUCACGGGCUUACUUCGUUUUGGAAUAAAGGUCACUGAAGAGGAGCGAAGUAAAUUCAAAGAUAAUGAAGUUGACGGAGAAGCAGUGGACUAUGGAUUGACUGAGAGGAUGGUUUUAUACCUCUUUGAAGGAUCGUUUAAGAAGCAAGCCAAAUUCAACCGAUUUGUACAGCAGUGGAAAGAAACCGUGACACUCCGUUGAGCCUGUCCCGGUACAUUCAGAGAAGGCUACAGUGGAAUCAAGAAUGAAUAUCUGCCGAAGAUUUUAAGAUGGCUUUAAGAUCCUAGUACCCACAGUGCUUAGACUGACUCAAAGGAAAUCUCCCCUUGCAGAUCUGGCUUUGGAGGAAAGAGAGGCUGCCCUCACCGAAGAUGUCCCUGGGAUUGAUUUCAGAGCUGCAAUCCUGCUGUUGCCAAUCCUGUUCAGGGAGAAAAAUGACAUUCUCAUCAUACUUGGAGAGGUGUGUAAUUUGCGUAUACUUAUUUUUUGUUUACAUUACUUCACGCAGAGACUGGGAGAAUUAUAUGCAUCCCUUGGAUGUCUUAUUUCAUAAUACAAAGUUUCUAGCUGUCAAUACUGGGCCUUG